rnacentral:lncRNA from 1 species
GGUGGCUCUAAAUAUAUAAAAAGUAUUAUCAAUAUAAAUUUAACCUCAAAAAUAGCCCCUUUAAACAACCACUUCAAAGUAGUAAUUUAACCAUAUUUUGUGACCAACUAAAAUUUAAUAAUGUGGCUCUUACUACAUUAUAUAAUAAAUUGUACAUUAAAUAUUAUGUGGAUUAUUUUCACAUAGUAGUCGAACCACAACACAAUACUAUUUUACUAAAUUGACCCACCCUAUUCUAACCAUUAUGACCUUCGUCCCAACCCCCUCAUUUCUAUCUCCCACUCCCUUUGUUCUCAUCUCCACUCCUACAAUUACAACACCACUCCCUUUGUUCCCAGUUCUCAUCCCAACCUCCCUCGUUCUCAACCCCCGCUCCC